rnacentral:misc_RNA from 1 species
CGACGGCGCCGUGGGCGACGCGUCGUUGAAGGCCGGGUCGUCCCCGUCGCCAUCGCCGUCGUCGUCGGAGCCCAGGAGCAGCGCGUUCCGCUGGCUCAGGAUCAUGAAGGGGAGGUGGUCCCUCGCCAGCUUGCUGACCAGCUGACCGCAGCGGCCGUGCCCGUCGAACACGCCGCAGAACACGCCGUCCUCCAUGCCGAAUCCCUGGAGACGACAGAUGAACCAGGAUCCAGGAUGCUAGCCACCGACGGUCCGUACGACGUCGCCAAAUUAAAACUUGUGGGUUGUUUCGCCGUCGUAGGACGUAGCAAACCCCAACAAAAAACGGUGAGGAAAUCCGAA